GUGGGGAAUCUUGCGCAAUGGGCGAAAGCCUGACGCAGCCAUGCCGCGUGAAUGAUGAAGGUCUUAGGAUUGUAAAAUUCUUUCACCGGGGACGAUAAUGACGGUACCCGGAGAAGAAGCCCCGGCUAACUUCGUGCCAGCAGCCGCGGUAAUACGAAGGGGGCUAGCGUUGCUCGGAAUUACUGGGCGUAAAGGGCGCGUAGGCGGACAGUUUAGUCAGAGGUGAAAGCCCAGGGCUCAACCUUGGAAUUGCCUUUGAUACUGGCUGUCUUGAGUACGGGAGAGGUGAGUGGAACUCCGAGUGUAGAGGUGAAAUUCGUAGAUAUUCGGAAGAACACCAGUGGCGAAGGCGACUCACUGGCCCGUUACUGACGCUGAGGCGCGAAAGCGUGGGGAGCAAACAGGAUUAGAAACCCCUGUAGUCC
rnacentral:rRNA from 1 species